GGAGCUCCAGCGCAAGCGCACUGGAUGCGGGGGUCCUUAAGCCGUUCGCGGUCACGUGAAGGUGUCGCGGCGGCGACGCCCUCCUGGACCCAGUUCAGGCUGUGCUAUGCUGUAAAAUACUACUUUCUCCGCAUCUGGAAUUCUUCCCUUCCUCCUUCUUGCCGCAGUGGCGUACUGAGCACUUUCACGUAAGAGUAUUCAUCCACUCGAACAACCCCCUGGAGAAGUACUCCUGUCACUGCCACCGGCGAGAGUUUGUGGCUACCUCCCCGAGAUGCGGUCCCAGGGUUAUUGUGACCUAUGAUGUUUAUUAAGCUACUGUUGACGGGCUGCUGUGCACAGGAACGGAGUGCACAAGGAACCUGGUAGGCAAGACCCCUGCCAUCGUGCAGCUUACUGUCAGGUUGACACAGAUACUAAGAAAGAACAAAAUUUUAAAUACAUUGAAAACGACACCUGUAAUUUGAGAAGAUGCUUGACAUCAGGAGAGGAGAAGAGUGGAGAGAGGUGGAGUGGCAAAGAAGAGUCUCCAAACCAAAAGCCUGCGUGCAGAGGCCCUAGGAGGCAAGCACUUACCAUGUUUCGGGAAUAGAAACGAAACAUAUGACAAGACUCUUAAAAACAAAUAGAAUUGGGAUGGAAUAAAGUUGGAUGAGUAAGCAGACAUCAAAUCGUUCAGAAACUUGUAGUCCAAGUUGAAGAAUUUGUUUAGUAUUGUAUAAUAAAUGCAGAGGAAGCUAUGUACAUUUAUAAUUUACAUUUUUUAAAGGCCACGUUGUAGCUCAAUCGGAUAGUUUGUCUUUUGAUGGAAUGUAGUAUACAGUAUCAUCAUGAUAUAUUCCAGGCAAAAAUAUUUAACUUGAAUCUAUCAAGCCUUUGCAUCUAACAGACUUUAUAAAAAAAUACAACUGAUAGAUGAACAAACUAAAUGAUGCCAGAGGAAGUAACUAGACAGAAGGUGAAACCAGAAGGUGAAACAUUCUGCAGGAUAACUGGCCCAUCUCUUCAACAAUUUGUCAUGAAAAAAGCAACUGCUUAUGAAAAGAAAUUUAAGGGACAUAACAGUUUGAAUUGGAUCCUAGUUUGAACAGACUAUAAAAUGCAUUUUCAGGAACAUUAAAGAAAUAUGAAUGUAGAUGGACUAAGUAUUGGAUAAAAUAGAACUGUAUUGCCAUGGAAAAGAUCAUUAACUGAAAAGAGCAAGUCACGAAGUAGUAUGUUACAGCAUCCCAUUUUGGUUUAAAAAUGCACAUCUGUGUAUUUAGGUACAAUGAAAAAAAUAGUGGCCUUAUACCCUAAGGUGUUAGUAGUGGUAAUCUUUGGAAGUGGAAAUGUGUAUUUUCUUAUUUAUGUUUGCCUAUCUUUUUCAUUGUAACUUUUGCAGCACAUAGACUACUUUCAUUAUAGUAAAAGUUUAUUUUACCACAAUUUUUUUUUUUUUUUUUUUUUUUUUUUUUU